rnacentral:tRNA from 1 species
GCGUUCAUAGCUCAGUUGGUUAGAGCACCACCUUGACAUGGUGGGGGUCGUUGGUUCGAGUCCUAUUGAACGCACCA